GCGCGUGGACGAGGGUAAUGAAGUUGCACUAUGUCUCGAUGAGAUCGUAAUCUUUUUCAGAUAUGUUACUCUAAACAAUUUCAGAAUCGUUUAGGAUUCGACGGAUCGUGAAUCGAAUUCUCGGAUACUCCGAAAUUGCGAACCCUAGGGCUAGGGUUUAGAAAUCGUGCGAUUGUACAAUCGUGAUCAAUCCGACCGUCCGAUCGAGAC
rnacentral:lncRNA from 1 species